ACAUGAAAUAAGCCGAAUCUCCAAACGGAGUACGGGGGAUGCCAUUCUAUUGGGGUGAAUCUCUUUAAUGAGUAGGGUACCUCUUACCCAAACCCGUCAACUAACCUCGGAGGCAAAGGAGGAGAUAUAU
rnacentral:sRNA from 2 species